GAUAGUAGAUCGUCGUAAUCUGAUCACUGUCGGGAGAGUCUGAUCAUCACAAUGUAGCCACACAGUGUGUCAGACCUCUGUGGAUCAUCCACACGAAGCUCCCAAUCUGAUCGACUCCUCACGAGUGCUAGCUCGUUGUAGAGCUUUUUCGAUGGCUGAUGCUGAUCGAACUCCUUCGAUCAAUAUCUUUCGAUUCUUUGAAUGCUCUGGAUCAUUAGUAGAUGUGCUUGAGAGGAUGUUGAAGAUCUUCCUAAAAUUUGGUGGGCUCACGACACUCGUAGCUCACCUUCUCACUUCCUGAACUCUAGGCUGAAACCCUGAAGAACUCACUGAAAUCCUGCACACACUUUUUCUUUCUUUUCUUUCUUUUUCUCUCGGAAGGAUAUUGACCUUUACCUUGCACACAAGGAUUCCUCACGCC
rnacentral:lncRNA from 1 species